CUAUCUUCCAGAGUCCCGGAGCUGUGCGGGCCCCGGAUCCUCUGGCUAACGGUCCGGAUAACCAACAGGACAGCCAGACUGAGACAUUGCAAUAUAAGAUUAAGUAACUUUGCCAAUGCCUCACAGCAAGGUGGUGGAGGAUCCAAGAUGCAAGCCUAAGACCCAAAGAACAGCCUCCAUAUUCAGGCCAGUCUGCCAGGAAAAGCAUUGGUUUCAGAAUUCCAGGAGGGGGCUACAACCUGUUGUAAGUUCCUAGAAGGAUAAGCCGUCUGUCUGUACCCAGUUGUGCCUAUUCCAGUAACAUUUUAACAAAGAUAAACGUGUCAACUGUUGGGAAGAGAUUGUGGAUUCCGCCCCCCUUAAGACUGGCUUGUGUGUU
ensembl:processed_transcript Gm14204 predicted gene 14204